GAGUUUGAUCGUGGCUCAGGAUGAACGCUGGCGGCGUGCCUAAUACAUGCAAGUCGAGCGAACGGACGAGAAGCUUGCUUCUCUGAUGUUAGCGGCGGACGGGUGAGUAACACGUGGAUAACCUACCUAUAAGACUGGGAUAACUUCGGGAAACCGGAGCUAAUACCGGAUAAUAUUUUGAACCGCAUGGUUCAAAAGUGAAAGACGGUCUUGCUGUCACUUAUAGAUGGAUCCGCGCUGCAUUAGCUAGUUGGUAAGGUAACGGCUUACCAAGGCAACGAUGCAUAGCCGACCUGAGAGGGUGAUCGGCCACACUGGAACUGAGACACGGUCCAGACUCCUACGGGAGGCAGCAGUAGGGAAUCUUCCGCAAUGGGCGAAAGCCUGACGGAGCAACGCCGCGUGAGUGAUGAAGGUCUUCGGAUCGUAAAACUCUGUUAUUAGGGAAGAACAUAUGUGUAAGUAACUGUGCACAUCUUGACGGUACCUAAUCAGAAAGCCACGGCUAACUACGUCG
rnacentral:rRNA from 1 species